GUUGGUGAGUGAUUGAAGCUGCUAGAUGACCUGAUUGAACCCAAAUCGUAGAAAAUCAAAUCCCAGAAAAUCAAUAACUCAAAAUCAUGGAUCAACGGUGGAGGUUUGAUUGGAUUUUGGGUAGAUGAGUGUGCAAAUACAAGAAAAGAACAAUAUAGAUUUGUUUCUAACCAGAUCACGCUGGCAGCUUCAACCUCUCAAACC
rnacentral:pre_miRNA from 1 species